GGUUGAUCCUGCCAGAGGUCACUGCUAUCGGAGUUCGACUAAGCCAUGCGAGUCGAGAGAAUUAGAUUCUCGGCAUACUGCUGAGUAACACGUGGAUAAUCUGCCCUAAGGUGGGAAAUAACCUCGGGAAACUGAGGACAAUGUCCCAUAGGCAAUGGAUACUGGAAUGUUCCCUUGCUCAAAGCCCCGGCGCCUUAGGAUGAGUCCACGGCAGAUUAGGCUGUUGGUAGGGUAAUGGCCUACCAAACCUGUGAUCUGUAGGGGCCGUGAGAGCGGAAGCCCCCAGUUGGGUACUGAGACACUGACCCAGGUCCUACGGGACGCAGCAGGCGCGAAACCUCCGCAAUGCCCGAAAGGGUACGGGGGAACUCCGAGUGCCGUAAUUUUUUCUACGGCCUUUCUGAAGCGUAAUACUUCAGAAUAAGGUUGGGUAAGACCGGCGCCAGCCGCCGCGGUAACACCGGCAACCUGAGUGGUGGCCGCGAUUAUUGGGCCUAAAGCGUUCGUAGCCGGGCUUGUUGGUCUCUAGGUAAAUCCGGGAGCUUAACUUUCGGAAUUCUAGAGAUACCGCAAGUCUUGGAGUCGGGAGAAGGUACGAGUACUUCAGGGGUAAGGGUGAAAUCUUCUGAUCCUUGAGGGACUACCAGUGGCGAAAGCGCGUACCUAGAACGAGCUCGACGGUGAUGGACGAAACCCUGGGGAGCGAACGGGAUUAGAUACCCCGGUAGUCCAGGGCGUAAACGAUGCCCGCUUGGUGUUGCACACUCUACGUGGGUGUGCAGUGCCGUAAUGUAGAUGUUUAGCGGGCCGCCUGGGGAGUAUGGUCGCAAGACUGAAACUUAAAUGAAUUGACGGA
rnacentral:rRNA from 1 species